rnacentral:lncRNA from 1 species
UGAAGAUCCUCAGCCUGUGGAUGAAAGGGGUCAAGGUUGCUUUCCUCAGUAGCUGGAGUGGCAGUUAAUUCACCAAAGAUGAUUCACAACCCAUGACAGCUGUAAAGGCAAGAAGCAUGCCUGCAUGAAGCCUCUGCACAGACUGAUGAUGUGGCAGGAUUAGAACCUGAUCCAGGCUACGGUGGGGUAGCUGGCUCAUCUCAGUGGGAGAGCUGGAACGGAGUGUUAAAUUGCUGCGAGAAGAAACUGUUCCAAAGCCACGCAGAUUCUUCACAGUGCUUCCUACGCCAAACAUCCUCACUCCCACAGGGAAGAAAAGCAGCGUGGAAAGGUGGCAGUGCUCGUAAUCUGUGUGACUGGCACAGGAGGAGCAGCUUGUGAGCGGCCUCUGGCUCCACCGACUGGCAUGUGGUUCCCUGUAGUAGUGAAGCUGUGAGGGGGCCCCAGCUGAUAUGGGGUCGGGGCUUUCCCCCUGCUCAUCUCCAGCACAGGGGCCCAGCACUCACAGCCAGUGCUGAAAGCACAAGAGAGAGCUGCCACUGGCAGCUUUUGUGCUGGUCUCAGAGUUGAGGCCCACUGGAGAUCUGGCAUCUGAGGAGCAGAGAGCAAGAGCCUCCAGGAGCCAGCAGCACCAGCAGGAAUGGGAGGCAAGCAAAAGCCGUGAGUGGUUGGUGUUCCCAUUUAGCACUGCCCUAUUAAGCAGUGUUCUUUGCUAGAAAUAACACCAACCUCAAGUAUCUUCCUCUGGGAGGCAUUCCAGUUAGGAACUUUUCCCAUUUAAGUGAGAAAUGCGGGGUGUUAAGAAGUGUUCAGUCUGGACAACAGUCAAAUAGGAAAAAAUAAAUAAAUUAAAUAAAAUAAGUAAUUUAAGCUG